GAUGGUCAGGCUCAACAAGAACUGAUCAAUGGCUUGAUGUCUAGUUGGCAACCGGUAUCAAAUGGAGUGUCCCAGUGGUCGGUCCUGGGGCCUAUUUUGUUCAAAAUCUUUAUUAAUUAUUUGGAUGAUGGUAUGGAUUGCACCCUCAGCAAGCUCGUGGAUGACACUAAGCUGAGG